rnacentral:rRNA from 1 species
AAGAAAGUAAAUAAGGGCGUAUGGGGGAUGCCUAGGCUCUCAGAGGCGAAGAAGGACGUGAUAAGCUGCGAAAAGCUUCGGGUAGCUGCAAAUAAGCGAUAAUCCGGAGAUAUCCGAAUGGGGAAACCCCUCUGGUUGAAGGCCAGAGAUCCAUUGAAUGAUGGAGGCGAACCCGCUGAACUGAAACAUCUAAGUAAGCGGAGGAGGAGAAAACAAAAGUGAUUUCCCAAGUAGUGGCGAGCGAACGGGAAGAAGCCCAAACCUAUCAUGUUACGGCAAGGUAGGGGUUGUAGGACUGCGAUAUUGGACAUAUACAUUGUAAUAGAACACAGCUGGAAAGCUGGACCAUAGGGGGUGAUAGUCCCGUAGAUGAAAUGGUGUAUAUACCAUAGCAGUAUCCUGAGUAGGACGGGACCGGAGAAAUCCUGUCUGAAUCUGGCGGCACCAUCCGCCAAGGCUAAAUACUCCUGAGAGACCGAUAGUGAACCAGUACCGUGAGGGAAAGGUGAAAAGAACCGCGAACAGCGGAGUGAAAUAGACCCUGAAACCAUACGCUUACAAGCGGUCGGAGUCCUGCGAGAGUGGGGUGACGGCGUGCCUUUUGCAUAAUGAGCCUACGAGUUACUCCUCUCUGGCAAGGUUAACCCCGUAGACGGGGGCAGCCGAAGCGAAAGCGAGUCUGAAUAGGGCGCACAUAGUCAGAGGGGGUAGACGCGAAACUUUGUGAUCUACCCAUGGCCAGGUUGAAGUGUGGGUAACACUACAUGGAGGACCGAACCGGUUGUCGUUGAAAAGACUUCGGAUGAGCUGUGGGUAGGGGUGAAAGGCUAAUCAAACUGAGAGAUAGCUCGUACUCCCCGAAAUGCCUUUAGGGGCAGCCUCGCAUAAGAGUGUCAUAGAGGUAGAGCUACUGAUUGGGCUAGGGGGCUUCACCGCCUACCAAACCCUGACAAACUCCGAAUGCUAUGACAUGUUUUGCGGGAGUGAGGGCGUGGGUGCUAAGGUCCGCGCCCGAGAGGGAAAGAACCCAGAUCAUCAGCUAAGGUCCCCAAAUAUAUGCUAAGUUGAACUAACGAGGUCUGAUUGCACAGACAGCUAGGAUGUUGGCUUGGAAGCAGCCAUUCAUUUAAAGAGUGCGUAACAGCUCACUAGUCGAGCGAUCGGGCAUGGAUAAUAAACGGGCAUAAGCAUAUUACCGAAGCUAUGAAUUUUAACUGAUAAAGUUAGAGUGGUAGGGGAGCAUUCCAGUCAGCGUAGAAGGUUUAACGUGAGUUAAGCUGGAGCGUCUGGAAAAGCAAAUGUAGGCAUAAGUAACGAUAAUGCGGGCGAGAAACCCGCACACCGGAAGACUAAGGAUUCCUGAUCAACGUUAAUCGGAUCAGGGUUAGUCGGGGCCUAAGGCGAUGCUGCUGUAGUGGCAGUUAAGUCGAUGGACAACUGGUUAAUAUUCCAGUACUGACCGGUAUUGCGAUGGAGUGACGGAGUAGUGAAAGCAACGCCCACUGACGGAAUAGUGGGUUAAAGGGAGGUAGGUAUAGAAGAUGCAGGAAAAUCCGCAUUUUUUGCCGAGACCUGAUAGUACCGUGCGUUUUCGGACAAUCGGAUAGUUUGCGUAAUCAGACUUCCAAGAAAAACUUCUAAGCAUCAGAUACCGGCCACCCGUACCGUAAACCGACACAGGUAGUCGAGGAGAGUAUCCAAAGGUGCUCGAGUGAAUCAUGGCUAAGGAACUAGGCAAAUUAACCCUGUAACUUCGGGAGAAAGGGUUCCGUCGCAAGGCGGACGCAGAGAAAUGGCCCAGGCGACUGUUUAUCAAAAACACAUGGCUUUGCAAAAUCGUAAGAUGAAGUAUAAGGCCUGACACCUGCCCGGUGCUGGAAGGUUAAGAGGAGAUGUCAUUCGCAAGGAGAAGCAUUGAAUUGAAGCCCCAGUAAACGGCGGCCGUAA